rnacentral:rRNA from 1 species
AUUGAACGCUGGCGGCAUGCUUUACACAUGCAAGUCGAACGGUAACAGGCCUUCGGGCGCUGACGAGUGGCGAACGGGUGAGUAAUGCAUCGGAACGUGCCCAGUCGUGGGGGAUAACGCAGCGAAAGCUGUGCUAAUACCGCAUACGAUCUGUGGAUGAAAGCGGGGGACCUUCGGGCCUCGCGCGAUUGGAGCGGCCGAUGUCAGAUUAGGUAGUUGGGGGGGUAAAGGCUCACCAAGCCAACGAUCUGUAGCUGGUCUGAGGGGACGACCAGCUAAACUGGGACUGAGACACGGCCCAGGCUCCUACGGGAGUCAGCAGUGGGGAAUUUUUGACAAUGGGCGCAAGCCUGAUCCAGCAAUGCCGCGUGCAGGAAGAAGGCCUUCGGGUUGUAAACUGCUUUUGUACGGAACGAAACGGUCCUGGUUAAUACCUGGGGCUAAUGACGGUACCGUAAGAAUAAGCACCGGCUAACUACGUGCCAGCCGCCGCGGUAACAC